rnacentral:rRNA from 1 species
AUUGAACGCUGGCGGCAGGCUUAACACAUGCAAGUCGAGCGAGCGGCGGACGGGUGAGUAAUGUCUGGGAAACUGCCUGCUGGAGGGGGAUAACUACUGGAAACGGGAGCUAAUACCGCAUACCAUCAGAUGUGCCCAGAUGGGAUUAGCUAGUAGGUGGGGUAAUGGCUCACCUAGGCGACGAUCCCUAGCUGGUCUGAGAGGAUGACCAGCCAAACGGGAACUGAGACACGGUCCAGCUGCCUACGGGAGGCAGAAGUGGGGAAUAUUGCACAAUGGGCGCAAGCCUGAUGCGGCCAUGCCGCGGGUGUGAAGAAGGCCUUCGGGUUGUAAAGCACGUUCAGCGAGGAGGCGUUACUCGCAGAAGAAGCACCGGCUAACUCCGUGCCAGCAGCCGCGGUAAUUC